GUAGGUGGCAAGCGUUGUCCGGAAUUAUUGGGCGUAAAGCGCGCGCAGGCGGUCCUUUAAGUCUGAUGUGAAAGCCCACGGCUCAACCGUGGAGGGUCAUUGGAAACUGGGGGACUUGAGUACAGAAGAGGAAAGCGGAAGUCCAAGUGUAGCGGUGAAAUGCGUAGAGAUUUGGAGGAACACCAGUGGCGAAGGCGGCUUUCUGGUCUGUAACUGACGCUGAGGCGCGAAAGCGUGGGGAGCAAACAGGAUUAGAUACCCUGGUAGUCCACGCCGUAAACGAUGAGUGCUAAGUGUUAGGGGGUUUCCCGCCCCCUUAGUGCUGCAGCUAACGCAUUAAGCACUCCGCCUGGGGAGUACGGCCGCAAGGCUG
rnacentral:rRNA from 1 species